rnacentral:rRNA from 1 species
AUUGAACGCUGGCGGCAGGCUUAACACAUGCAAGUCGAGCGAGCGGCGGACGGGUGAGUAAUGUCUGGGAAACUGCCUGAUGGAGGGGGAUAACUACUGGAAACGGUAGCUAAUACCGCAUACCAUCAGAUGUGCCCAGAUGGGAUUAGCUAGUAGAUGGGGUAAUGGCUCACCUAGGCGACGAUCCCUAGCUGGUCUGAGAGGGUGACAGGCGACAUUGGUACUGAGGUACGGCCCAGACUACUACGGGAGGAAGCAGGUGGGGAUAUUGCACAAUGGGCGAAAGCCGGAUGCAGCGACGCCGCGUGGGAGAUGAAGGCCUUCGAGUUGUAAACCUCUUUAGGCGGUAGGUGGAGAAGAAGCGCCGGCUAACUACGUGCCAGCAGCCGCGGUAAUAC